CCUGAAGCAGAGAAAGAGCGACCUUGGAGAUCAACGACAAUGGCGACGACACCACCAGUUGCCUCUCCGCUCUUGGCGUCUCCUGCUGCUCAAAGCACACCUGACCCUGGCCAUUCCAGUGUUGUCGGCCACGCUCAAGGCAUGCCCUCCCCUGGGGCUUCCAGUGGCAGUGGUGCUGCUGCUGCUCAAAGCAACCUUCAAGGCAGUGGCCCUACUUUUGGUAGCCACAAUCCGUUUGGUGGUGGACCUCCCGUCAACCGCUCAUAGCAAAGCUCUUGCUCUGCUCUCCCGUCAAAAAAAAAACAAACAAAGCACUUGCUCUGCUCCUUAGGGACCACCUGAUCAUGUGCUAGUUAAAAUGUGUGGAUGGUAUAUGGGACAACAUUUGAUCCUAGUAUGGUUAAGGGUUUGUUGCACUCUUAUUUAUCAGAGAUUGUAAAGUCAAGAAUGUAUCAGCACAAUUUAUUAUUUACUGUGUUCGUUUGUAUAA